rnacentral:ncRNA from 1 species
CUUCGAUAACAGCAAACCUAUUGAAAGAUAGGGACGCAAAGCUACGGGCCUAAAGAAAGUUCUAUGGCAGCCGGGUUGCCGAA